UCAAAGUUUGAUUCUUGCUUAUUUUAUAUAUUAGAGCAAUAUAAAAUACAUUUAAAUUUUUGUGAGACUAAGGGCUGUUUUUUUAAAAAUAUAAUAGUGCGUAUGUGAUAAAGUCGAAGUGUGAGACAUUAGUAUAAAUGACUGGGAGGUUGAAUUAGUAAUUGUUUUAGUCCUGACUAAAAUUUUGUGCCAGCAGUCGCGGUUAUACUUAGAGGGCAGAUAUAUAAUUAUUGGUUAGUAGUUAAAUUAAUGAUAUUAGUAAUAAAGUGCUAUAUUUGAGUUAAUAAAAGGUGAAAUUGGUGUAUUAAAUAUCUAAUAUAGUAGUUAUAUAAUAUUUAUUGAAGCUAUUUAAUUUGUGGUAUAAACUAGGAUUAGAUACCCUAUUAUACACAUAUUUAAUUAUUAAAUAUCAGACUAUUUUUAGUUAUGUUCUUAAAAAUCAAAGAACUUGGCGGUAGCUUAGUCUUGUUAGAGGAACCUGUUUUAUAAGCGAUAAACCACGUAAUAUCUUGCUUAGUUUUGUAUAUUCAGUAUGUAUACCGUCAUUAUUAGAUAAUUCUUAUAAGAUAUAAUUGUUAAAAUAGUAAAUUACUAAUAUAUUAGAUCAAGGUGCAGCUUAUAAUUAAGUAAAAAUGGGUUACAAUAAUUUAUAAUUAUAUGGAUUAAUUAUUGAAAAGAAUAAUUAUUAAAGUGGAUUUAAUUGUAAUGUUUUUUUAAUAAGGAAAAAUGAUAAUAGCUCUAGGUUAUGUACAUAUCGCCCGUCGCUUUCAUUACAAGGUGAAAUAAGUCGUAACAGAGUAGGUGUACUGGAAAGUGUACCUAGA
rnacentral:ncRNA from 1 species